rnacentral:rRNA from 1 species
UACGUAGGGUGCGAGCGUUAAUCGGAAUUACUGGGCGUAAAGCGUGCGCAGGCGGCGCGUUAAGACAGGUGUGAAAGCCCCGAGCUUAACUUGGGAAUUGCGCUUGUGACUGGCGUGCUGGAGUGUGGCAGAGGGAGGUGGAAUUCCACGUGUAGCAGUGAAAUGCGUAGAGAUGUGGAGGAACACCGGUGGCGAAAGCGCUCUACUGGGCCUGCACUGACACUGGGGGACGAAAGCUGAGGGGAGCGAAAGGGGAUAAGAAAUCCCGGGUAAGUCCCAGGACCGAAGUCUCA